CAUCAACACCAUCAUCAAGUAUCUCCUGUAAUUCCUAUUUUCUCAACAAAUCAAUCAACACCAAUUCAACAACAACAACGUCAACAACAACAACCACAACAACGAACAAACACCUACAACAAAAACAAUACCAACAAUCAUCAGCAACAAACUUUUGAGAGGAAGAAGGUCUCUUUCGACCCAAUUCCUAUGACAUAUGAAGAGCUUUAUCCAUCAUUGGUUCUCAAGAACCUUCUAUAAACGAGAAAUCCGCCACAAAUUCCUGAAC
rnacentral:lncRNA from 1 species